AGUAUGUUCAAAACACUUUUUAGAAAAGAUAUUGACAGAACUUCACUUUCAUCUGUUCGUUUCCAAUAGCUUAUGUCACACAGAAUCAGCUGAGAGAAGUGGUCUACCAAAAACCAGAAAGGAAACGGAAUAUGUGGCUACGAAAAGCAAAAGAAAGGUUUACAAAGCA
rnacentral:lncRNA from 1 species